rnacentral:rRNA from 1 species
CCAAUAGCGUAUAUUAAAGUUGUUGCAGUUAAAAAGCUCGUAGUUGAAUUUCGGGAUCAGUUGGUCGGUCGUGCUUAGGUACGUACUGGUCAAAUUGAUUCCUACCUUCUGACGAACCACGAUGUCAUUAAUUUGGUGUCGUGGGGAAUCAGGACUGUUACUUUGAAAAAAUUAGAGUGUUUAAAGCAGGCUCGCGCUUG